rnacentral:rRNA from 1 species
UCGGAUUGUAAAGUCCUUUUGGCGGGGACGAUGAUGACGGUACCCGCAGAAUAAGCUCCGGCUAACUUCGUGCCAGCAGCCGCGGUAAUACGAAGGGGGCUAGCGUUGCUCGGAAUGACUGGGCGUAAAGGGCGCGUAGGCGGACGGCACAGUCAGGCGUGAAAUUCCUGGGCUCAACCUGGGGACUGCGUCUGAGACGUGUUGUCUUGAGUAUGGAAGAGGGUUGUGGAAUUUCCAGUGUAGAGGUGAAAUUCGUAGAUAUUGGAAAGAACACCGGUGGCGAAGGCGGCAACCUGGUCCAUUACUGACGCUGAGGCGCGAAAGCGUGGGGAGCAAACAGGAUUAGAUACCGUUGGUAGUCACAGGA